AUGGGAAGCUCGCCAGCCUCAGGACAACCCGUUCAUUGGGAGGCCGCCGCCGCCGCCGCCCCCCCUCUGGCCAGAGGCCGAAGGGUUCCCCCGAGGCAGCCAGUACAGGCAUCCUCAGAAGCGGGCCUUCGCUGCUGUGGCUGGCUGGAGGAGAGCGAGCGAGCGAGGGCGGGCGGGACCCGGUGCCAAGACGAGCCCCUUUGGAAAUGGGGGCCGGGGAAGGAAAGAGGCCAGGCGAGGAGACCGAAGGCGCUGCGUCCCCGGCUUCUAAGACCUCCUCCCCUCCUCUCGGGCCACCUCCCGCUGAGGGGCCCCGCCUUGACCCACCUGGGGAGCGGCUCAGAGGGGUCCAGCCUGCUGGGUCUUUGCUCUCCUGGAUCCUGGACGGGGAGUCCCACUAGCGGGCAGAGAUGCUCCGCAGCGUCGACCGGGGCGGGGAGGUCCGCCUGGUCCUUCUGGAGCGCCACAAGAAGCCCCGUGGCCAUGGCAAGGUGCGGGGGCGCCUCUUUUGGAGGGAGACUCGCUUGGCUGCCUCUGGAGAAAGGGCACCGGCCCAAGGGUCUGGCGCAGCGGCCGCGGCAGCCCGGCCACUCCUUACCCGUCGCCCGCCACCGCCCAAUUUCUCCCCUCUCUCGGGGCCUGCCAGAAGCAGGAAGCCUGGCUGGGGAGUUUCACAUCGGAAGAGCGUCAGGCUCCCACGCUGUCUGGGGAAGGCAGAGGAAAUUCCUCCCCUCUGGGUGGGCCCCCGCGCUGGGGAGGUGGAAGGCGGCUGGCGGGACUCCUGGAGUAUCCCCCAGGCAGGCACCGGCGACCCUUCCCCAAGCCACGCCGGUUGAAGGAUGUUCCCCUUUCCCAGGGAGCAGGAUCAGCCUCCAGGCAGCUGUAGAGCAGUGUGGAGGUCUGCAGGGAAGGCAGAAAGCCAGAGCACUGCUGGGGGGGGGGAGGGUCCAUCUUCCACCUGGGACACCUUUCGACCCCUCUGGCAGUGCCUGUGGACUCCAGCAAUGGGGCAAGCUGCCCCCGCUACCCCCGCUGACAAAGCAGAGGGGGAGGGGGGCUUCCCAAUGUUUCCUCCUUCCUUGGGAAGCUUCCUGA
rnacentral:lncRNA from 1 species